UGAAGAGAGGGUGAAUGAAAUCACGAGGGAAUACUAUGAUGAUGUCAUCACUGAUGGACUGAAUCCAGAUCGUGAGACAGUAGAAGACACACCUGGGAGCUAUGAUGAUGUUAUCACUAGCGGACAGAACUCUGUGGACACACCUGAGAAUUAUGAUGAUGUCAUCAUUAAUGGACAGGACUCUCAAGGUGUAACAGAGGGAGAUCAGGAGGAGUAUGAUGAUGUGAAGAGCAGCAAUGAAGAUGAGAGAAACCUUUUGGACCAUGAUGAUGUGGGGGAGGAAUCAAAAUUAGGGCGGGACUUUAUGACUUAAAGGCCACACCCACUGCUUCGGUUCAUGAAAUCACAAUUUUACCGCUAGAGUUCAAUGGGUUAUGGGUUGGUAAGAGUUGAUGGG